CGAUGUAAGAGUGAUUUGGUUGAAACAUGUUACCAUAGGGUUGAUUUGACUAGUAGAGUGUCCCCUUCAGAAGGACACUCACAGCUCCAUUGUGUCCCUCCUAAACUUUCAUGCUUAGUCAAAGAGGAACCUUCCUUGUUGAAGGCCAUAAUUCUUUUGCCCAGGGUAUCCAAGUAACUGGGUUCCCUUUAUUGAAACGACAGGCAUGCUCUCAAGUCUAAAAAAGAAUGAAUUCCUUUUCU
rnacentral:snRNA from 1 species